rnacentral:rRNA from 1 species
UACGGGGGGGGCAAGCGGUUGUUCGGAAUUACUGGGCGUAAAGGGCUCGUAGGCGGCCAACUAAGUCAGACGUGAAAUCCCCGUCGGCUUAACCGGGGAACUGCGUCUGAUACUGGAUGGCUUGAGAUUGGGAGAGGGAUGCGGAAUUCCAGGUGUAGCGGUGAAAUGCGUAGAUAUCGGAGGAAUACCGGUGGCGAAGGCGGCAUC